rnacentral:tRNA from 3 species
AACGACAUAGUUUAAUAAGAAUUUUAAGUUUGCGUCUUAAAGGUGGAAAUUAGUUUCUUUUCGUUA